rnacentral:rRNA from 1 species
AAAAGAGAGCAAGGGCGCAUGGUGGAUGCCUAGGCUCACGGAGGCGAUGAAGGACGUGAUAAGCUGCGAUAAGCCGCGGUUAGGUGCAAAUGACCCUUGACCCGCGGAUUUCCGAAUGGGACAACCCGGCACCUUAAGGUGUCAUCACACAACAGUGUGAGGCAAACGCGGGGAACUGAAACAUCUUAGUACCCGCAGGAAGAGAAAACAACAGUGAUUCCCCCAGUAGUGGCGAGCGAACGGGGAGGAGCCCAAACCCGCGCGGUUACGGCCGCGCGGGGGUAGUAGGGCCGCGGUGUUGCACUGUCAGUAGCGAGCGGAACGGUCUGGAAAGUCCGGCCAUAGCGGGUGAGAGCCCCUUACGCGAAGCUGCUGCGGGCAUAGCGGAACCCUGAGUAACGCGGGACACGUGUAAUCCUGCGCGAAUCCGCCGGGACCAUCCGGCAAGGCUAAAUACUCCCGUGAGACCGAUAGUGUACCAGUACCGUGAGGGAAAGGUGAAAAGCACUCCGAGCAGGAGGGUGAAAUAGAUCCUGAAACCAUGCGCCUACAAGCGGUCGGAGCAUGAUUGAUCAUGUGACGGCGUGCCUUUUGCAUAAUGAGCCUGCGAGUUGCCGUCACCGGCGAGGUAUGGGGCCUCAGUCCCCGCGCCGCAGUGAAAGCGAGCCUGAAGAGGGCGUCGAGUCGGUGGUGGCAGACGCGAAACUGGGUGAUCUACACUUGUCCAGGGUGAAGUCCCGGUAACACGGGAUGGAGGCCCGAACCGAUAAGCGUUGAAAAGCUUCCGGAUGAGGCGAGUGUAGGAGUGAAAGGCCAAUCAAACCCAGAGAUAGCUCGUACUCCCCGAAAUGCAUUUAGGUGCAGCGUGCGGUGUUCCGCAUGAGAGGUAGAGCGACCGAUAGGACGCGAGGGCUUCACCGCCUAUCAAGUCCUGACGAACUCCGAAUGCUCAUGCGCGGUAGCCGUGCAGUAAGGGGGCGGGUGCUAAGGUCCGUCCCCGAGAGGAGAAGAAUCCGGACCGCCGUCUAAGGUCCCGGAAUCCUGCCUGAGUCAGUCUAACGAAGUGUGACUCCUGAGACAGCCAGGAUGUUGGCUUGGAAGCAGCCAUUCAUUCAAAGAGUGCGUAACAGCUCACUGGUCGAGGGGUCGUGCGUGGAUAAUAAUCGGGUGUAAGGCAGGUACCGAAGGCGCGGGAUAGCAAUAAUAAAAGUAUCGGUAGGGGAGCAUUCCAUGUGCGUCGAAUGGCCGGGGCGACCCGUCCUGGAGCGCAUGGAAAAGCAAAUGCAGGCAUAAGUAACGAUAAGAGGGGUGAGAUCCCCCUCCGCCGUAAGGCCGAGGUUUCCCGGGCAAUGCCAAUCAGCCCGGGGUCAGUCGGGUCCUAAGGCUCAGCCGAACGGCGAGGCCGAUGGAAAGACGGUCAACAUUCCGUCACUGGGAUGUGCAGCGAUGCGGAGACGGAGAAGUGGCACCGCCGCGGGGUUACGGAAUACCCCGUUGAAGGGUGUAGGUGUAGAGGGUUGUAGUCAAGCACGCAACCCGAGCCGAACCUGAUAGUACCCCAAGCCCUCCGGGGCGCGGGGAUAGUGCGGGUAAUCAUGCUCCCGAGAAAAUCCGCUAAGCAAUGUACGUUCCACCCGUACCGCAAACGGACACACGUGGCCGGGUAGAGCAUACCAAGGCGUUGGAAGAUUCAUGGUUAAGGAACUAGGCAAACUGACCCCGUAACUUCGGGAAAAGGGGUCCUCAAGCGAUUGAGGCGCAGAGAAUAGGUCCAGGCAACUGUUUAACAAAAACACAGGGCUGUGCGAAAUCGAAAGAUGCAGUAUACAGCCUGACACCUGCCCGGUGCCGGAAGGUUAAGAGGAGAUGUCACCGCAAGGGAAGCAUUGAAUUGAAGCCCCGGUAAACGGCGGCCGUAACUAUAACGGUCCUAAGGUAGCGAAAUUCCUUGUCGGGU